UGGGGAAUUUUGGACAAUGGGCGAAAGCCUGAUCCAGCAAUGCCGCGUGUGUGAAGAAGGCCUUCGGGUUGUAAAGCACUUUUGUCCGGAAAGAAAUCCUUGGCUCUAAUACAGUCGGGGGAUGACGGUACCGGAAGAAUAAGCACCGGCUAACUACGUGCCAGCAGCCGCGGUAAUACGUAGGGUGCAAGCGUUAAUCGGAAUUACUGGGCGUAAAGCGUGCGCAGGCGGUUUGCUAAGACCGAUGUGAAAAUCCCCGGGCUCAACCUGGGAACUGCAUUGGUGACUGGCAGGCUAGAGUAUGGCAGAGGGGGGUAGAAUUCCACGUGUAGCAGUGAAAUGCGUAGAGAUGUGGAGGAAUACCGAUGGCGAAGGCAGCCCCCUGGGCCAAAUACUGACGCUCAUGCACGAAAAGCGUGGGGAGCAAAACAGGAUUAGAUACCCUGGUAGUCCACGCCCUAAAACGAUGUCAACUAGUUGUUGGGGAUUCAUUUCCUUAGU
rnacentral:rRNA from 1 species